GAGGAAUAUUGGGCAAUGGGCGAAAGCCUGACCCAGCAACGCCGCGUGAGGGAUGAAGUAUUUCGGUAUGUAAACCUCGAAAGAAUGGGAAGAAUAAAUGACGGUACCAUUUAUAAGCUCCGGCUAACUACGUGCCAGCAGCCGCGGUAAUACGUAGGGAGCAAGCGUUGUUCGGAUUUACUGGGCGUAAAGGGCGCGUAGGCGGCGCGGUAAGUCACUUGUGAAAUCUCUGAGCUUAACUCAGAACGGCCAAGUGAUACUGCUGUGCUAGAGUGCGGAAGAGGCAACCGGAAUUCUUGGUGUAGCGGUGAAAUGCGUAGAUAUCAAGAGGAACACCUGAGGCGAAGGCGGGUUGCUGGGCCGACACUGACGCUGAUGCGCGAAAGCCAGGGGAGCAAACG
rnacentral:rRNA from 1 species